CCUACGGGAGGCAGCAGUGAGGAAUAUUGGUCAAUGGACGAGAGUCUGAACCAGCCAAGUAGCGUGAAGGAUGACUGCCCUAUGGGUUGUAAACUUCUUUUAUAUGGGAAUAAAAUGUUCCACGUGUGGGAUUUUGUAUGUACCAUAUGAAUAAGGAUCGGCUAACUCCGUGCCAGCAGCCGCGGUAAUACGGGGGAUCCGAGCGUUAUCCGGAUUUAUUGGGUUUAAAGGGAGCGUAGGUGGAUUGUUAAGUCAGUUGUGAAAGUUUGCGGCUCAACCGUAAAAUUGCAGUUGAAACUGGCAGUCUUGAGUACAGUAGAGGUGGGCGGAAUUCGUGGUGUAGCGGUGAAAUGCUUAGAUAUCACGAAGAACUCCGAUUGCGAAGGCAGUUCACUGGACUGCAACUGACACUGAGGCUCGAAAGUGUGGGUAUCAAACAGGAUUAGAUACCCGUGUAGUC
rnacentral:rRNA from 1 species